UUAAAUUAGGUUUCCCUGUCUAACGUCAUGACGUAGACGUUUAUUUGUUGAACGUCAACGUCUUUUCCAGCCAGAUUUCUGUAGCUGAAGCUGACAUUUUUUCUCCUCGUCAAUCUCAUCAUCCACGCGGUCAAGGUCACUCUGAAAAACGCCCUGGACACAACUCAUCAAACUACCCAAAGACUGCCAUGGCUCAUUCCACAACUGCCAGACUUAAAGUGAUUUUGGGGGACAACAACAUUGAAAAACUGACACUUCCCAAUGGAAUACCAGAGUCACUAGAUGACCUCAUCGGCACGAUAAGGAGUACGUUCGGAUUAAAGUGCAGCUUGAAACUGCAGUACAUGGACCAAGAUUUUGGCAAUGACUUUUUCAAUCUGAACUCUAAUGCUGAACUCCAGGAUUUGGGGACAAUCAAGG